UCUAAAAACAAAGAGGGAUUCAAGGUACUCUCAAGAACGGAGCGGCAGUGCCUCAACGGUAUUCUGGAUUUUGUUCUAGAAUGUCUCAACGGAACUCUGGGUUUUUUUCUUCUGAAUUUUCUUCUAGAAUGUCUCAACGGAACUCUGGAUUUUCUUCUAGAAUGUCUCAACGGUACUCUAGAUGCCUCAACCGAGGCACUCAAAUUAUAGCCCUGAGAUGAGAGGAGAUCGACGACCUGGAUGAAAUGGCCGUUAAUUUUUCCAUGUUACCGUUUGAAAUAGCACCUCACCUCUUCUAUUUAUAGAAGGGGUAGAGUGUUCCCCAUUCUAUUUUUUUUUGGUUUGCCUGUGUUUGUAAUGUUUUUCCAUUUUAUUCAGACUGUUCCCUAUUCUAUUUGUCUUUUUGUUUGCGUGUGAUUCUCUUAUACUUUUAUUCAGUUUUGUGUUUGGAUUUUUUUCUUUUUUAAUUUUCAUGGUAUUUGUGGAUGGUGAAUUUAGAAUGGGGCACUGAGGAGGGCAGAGCUAUACAUUCAUUAUAUUUGCAGUUGCAUUUGCUCUAAUAUGCAAGGAGGUAAUCGAUCACGGAACCUAUUCUGCCAGAGCUUGGGAGGCGUUUACAGAGUCCUUUAUAGCAUAUGGAGAUCGGCUAUAACUCUUAUUCAGGCUAGGUUCCGCCAGAGCUCGAGUACUUGGACAUUGCUGGUGCUAAUCUUUCCGGCGUACUGCCACAAGGUAAGGUGAGAAAGAUGAGGACAAUGAAUGAGAUGGUGAUGGUGCCCCACACCCCAAGCAAUAGCAAUAACAAGGUGGUGAAACUUCCACCACAGCGAGGGCAGAUAAAGAAGAAGAUAUUCAAAAGUGUGGGGCAUUGUCUAUUCAAGAAGGCUGUGAAUUCUGUGCGUUUUAUGAUACGUCUGAAGAAUUCAAUGGUGAAGAACAAAUUCUGCAUCUCUGCCAAAUUACUCCAAUCUUUAACAAGGCGUUUCAGUUUUGGCCACACUACUUCUACACACCCUUCUCAUCUACUUUGAUAAAUAUGGUUUAUUUUUGUUAUUGUUAUGUAUGUUAAGGAAGAUUGUCAGCGUAAUAACAACGCUUUUGAAUUGAAAAUAGAUUGAAGAUUAUCAGCGUUAUAACAACGCUUUUGAAUUUAAAAUAUAUAUUUAGUUUUUUAUUAGUUUCAA